GAGACUUCGAAUUCAAGUUCAGAUACAAAGAAAAGUGAAAAGAAUUUGGCCCCGGAAGGAAACCAAGAUUAAAAGAAUCAGAAGCCAAAAACAAAGUCAAGAAGGAAAUCAUCGAAUGGCAGCCUUGGCUCACCCGUAUGUUCCCGAAGAUGGGAAUUGAAUCUGAAUUUGAUUCCCCCAGAUGAAACCAGAAGUCAAAUCUUAGUAUUGAGUCAUCCUCUCAAGAUUCCGCUGGCAAUCCGAAACAAUCUGUUAGGAUCCACGUGUACACUACACGCAAGAGAAAGGAAGGAACAAGAGUUAGAACAGGUGGCAGCACGGGAUUGGAGCAAGCAGAACAGUCAGCAAUUACUUUGUGGCGAAGUCAAUCUAAAGAAGAAAAGCAACGUGGCACAAUAUUGGAAGAGAGGCAGUUGACAAAUGAAAGAGAGAAGGUAGAAAAGGGAGCAGAGGAAAA